rnacentral:rRNA from 1 species
UACGGAGGGGGCUAGCGUUGUUCGGAAUUACUGGGCGUAAAGCGCGCGUAGGCGGCUUUGUAAGUUAGAGGUGAAAGCCCGGAGCUUAACUCCGGAACUGCCUUUAAGACUGCAUCGCUAGAAUCGUGGAGAGGUGAGUGGAGUUCCGAGUGUAGAGGUGAAAUUCGUAGAUAUUCGGAAGAACACCAGUGGCGAAGGCGACUCACUGGACACGUAUUGACGCUGAGGUGCGAAAGCGUGGGGAGCGAACAGG